CCUACGGGGUGCACCAGUGGGGAAUAUUGCACAAUGGGCGCAAGCCUGAUGCAGCCACGCCGCGUGUGUGAAGAAGGCCUUCGGGUUGUAAAGCACUUUCAGCGGGGAGGAAGGCGGUGAGGUUAAUAACCUCAUCGAUUGACGUUACCCGCAGAAGAAGCACCGGCUAACUCCGUGCCAGCAGCCGCGGUAAUACGGAGGGUGCAGGCGUUAAUCGGAAUUACUGGGCAUAAAGCGCACGCAGGCGGUCUGUCAAGUCGGAUGUGAAAUCCCCGGCUCAACCUGGGAACUGCAUUCGACACAGGCAGGCUAGAGUCUUGUAGAGGGGGGUAGAAUUCCAGGUGUAGCGGUGAAAUGCGUAGAGAUCUGGAGGAAUACCGGUGGCGAAGGCGGCCCCCUGGACAAAGACUGACGCUCAGGUGCGAAAGCGUGGGGAGCAAACAGGAUUAGAUACCCUCGUAGUC
rnacentral:rRNA from 1 species